rnacentral:rRNA from 1 species
AGGAGGCAGCAGUGGGGAAUAUUGGACAAUGGGUGCAAGCCUGAUCCAGCCAUGCCGCGUGCAGGAAGAAGGCCUUCUGGGUUGUAAACUGCUUUUGCCAGGGGAUAAAAAGCCCAUGCGUGGGAAAUUGAAGGUACCUGGUGAAUAAGCCACGGCUAACUACGUGCCAGCAGCCGCGGUAAUACGUAGGUGGCAAGCGUUGUCCGGAUUUAUUGGGUUUAAAGGGUGCGUAGGUGGUCUAUUAAGUCAGUGCUGAAAUAUCCCGGCUUAACCGGGAGGGUGGCAUUGAUACUGAUGGACUUGAGUAAAGUUGAAGUAGGCGGAAUUGACGGUGUAGCGGUGAAAUGCUUAGAUAUCGUCAAGAACACCGAUAGCGAAGGCAGCUUACUAAGCUUUAACUGACGCUGAGGCACGAAAGUGUGGGGAUCAAACAGGAUUAGAUACCCCGGUAGG